rnacentral:lncRNA from 1 species
UUUUUUGUUUUGUUUUUUGUUUUGAGAGGAGGCUCGCUCUGUCACCCAGGCUGGAGUGCAGUGGCGCGAUCUCGGGUCACUGCAACCUCUGCCUCCCAGGUUCAAGUGAUUCUCCUGCCUCAUCCUCCCGGGUAGCUGGGACUACAGGCGCCUACCACCACGCCUGGCUAAUUUUUUGUAUUUUUAGUAAAGAUGGGGUUUCACCGUGUUGGCCAGGAUGGUCUCAAUCUCCUGACCUUGUGAUCCGCCCGCCUCAGCCUCACAAAGUGCUGGGAUUACAGGCAUGAGCCACUGCGCCCGGCCAAAAACACAUAUUUAAAAGAGAAAUCAAACCGGACGCCGUGGCGCAGGACUGCAAUCCCAGCACUUUGUGAGGCAGAGCGGGAGGACAGCUUGAGCCCAGGAGGUUGAGACCGGCCUGGCCAACAUGGCGAAACCCAGUCUCUAAUAAAAAUGCAAAAAUUAGCCGGGCGUGGUGGCAUGGCACCUAUAGUCUCAGCUACUCAGGAGGCUGAUGUGGGAAGAUUGCUUGAGGCUAAAUUAACCCUGAUCUUGCCACUCACUGUGCUCCAGCCCAGGCAACAAGGCGAGACCCUGUCUCGUUAAAAAAAGAAAGAAAAGAAACCAGGACAUUGAAAUUAGAGCUCUGACAUUUUAGAUAGCUUUCUAUAUCCACAGUAAGCUGACUAGUUCAAUCCAGAAGGUACUGUGGAUAACUUGGACAUAAUUGUCAUCUUUCAUAGUUAGAGAUUUUGAAAGAAAAUAUAACUUAAGCAAUCUUUCAGCUUCUUGGAGGUUGGGAGAGGAGAUCCCAAAAGAACACUCAAAAUAAUGAAACUCUCCCCAGCUGUUUACACCUAUGUAGAACCUAAAUUUAUUAAUUCAAUAAUGAUUUCAUGUGCUUACUGUCAAAAAAAAAAUUUUUAAGUGGGACACUCAUUAAAGCUGUAAAUUAGAUUUUAUUUAAUGAAAACUAUUGCAGUAGGGAAGUGGGUCCAGCAUGAACUGAACACAACUUUGCUGAAACAAAAGAUUGGAGACUUUUUAGAGGCUGUGGUGUGCUAAGGGAAAGGCACUGAGGAGUGUGAAGAGGUGGUUGGUCCUGCGACUAGGCCACCUGGGUGUGUUAAUCCAUGCUUAUGCAGAGGAGACACAUAAUUAUUCUGUUUUCAUGACAAGCAGUGGUGUAAGAGAGCAAGGUAGCCAUAGGGACUGGGAAUGAGAAUGAGAAGCACCUCCUUGAAUGUUUGCAGUUGAAGAGACAAACCCCCAGGUCCUUGAGAAGACAGUUCUUGGUGGUCAUGUGUCUGGAAUUGGUUCCUUCCAGUGGGUUCUUGGUCUCGCUAACUUCAAGAAUGAAGCCUCGGACCUUCGCAGUGAGUGUUACAGCUCUUAGAGGGGGCAUAGACCCAAAGAAUGAGCAGCAGCAAGAUUUAUUGUGAAGAGUGAAAGAACAAAGCUUCCACAGCAUGGAAGGGGACCCAGGUUGCCUCUGCUCGCUGGGGGGGUGGCCAGCUUUUAUUCCCUUAUUUGUGUCCCCCCCC